UACGUAGGGGGCAAGCGUUGUCCGGAUUUAUUGGGCGUAAAGAGCGUGUAGGCGGCUGGGUAGGUCCGCUGUGAAAACUCGAGGCUUAACCUCGAGACAUCGGUGGAAACCAUCCAGCUAGAGUCCGGAAGAGGAGAGUGGAAUUCCUGGUGUAGCGGUGAAAUGCGCAGAUAUCAGGAAGAACACCCGUGGCGAAAGCGGCUCUCUGGGACGGUACUGACGCUGAGACGCGAAAGCGUGGGGAGCGAACAGG
rnacentral:rRNA from 1 species